rnacentral:rRNA from 1 species
AGAGUUUGAUCCUGGCUCAGAUUGAACGCUGGCGGCAGGCUUAACACAUGCAAGUCGAGCGGGGUGAUGGUGCUUGCACUAUCACUUAGCGGCGGACGGGUGAGUAAUGCUUAGAAAUCUCCCUAUUAGUGGGGGACAACAUUUCGAAAGGAAUGCUAAUACCGCAUACGUCCUACGGGAGAAAGCAGGGGAUCUUCGGACCUUGCGCUAAUAGAUGAGCCUAAGUCGGAUUAGCUAGUUGGUGGGGUAAAGGCCUACCAAGGCGACGAUCUGUAGCGGGUCUGAGAGGAUGAUCCGCCACACUGGGACUGAGACACGGUCCAGACUCCUACGGGAGGCAGCAGUGGGGAAUAUUGGACAAUGGGCGCAAGCCUGAUCCAGCCAUGACCGCGUGUGUGAAGAAGGCCUUAUGGUUGUAAAGCACUUUAAGCGAGGAGGAGG